GACGGGCCCGCACAAGCAGCGGAGCGUGUGGUUUAAUCGAUGUUACACGAAGAACCUUACCAGGGUUUGACAUGCAAGUGGUAGGAAGCCGAAAGGUGACCGACCCUUCGGGGAGCUUGCACAGGUGCUGCAUGGCUGUCGUCAGCUCGUGUCGUGAGAUGUUCGGUUAAGUCCGCUAACGAGCGCAACCCUCGCUGUGUGUUAUAUGUGUCACACGGGACUGCCGGUCUUAAGCCGGAGGAAGGUGGGGAUGAUGUCAAGUCAGCAUGGCCUUUAUAUCCUGGGCUACACACACGCUACAAUGGCCAACACAAUAGGUUGCUAAGCCGCGAGGUGGCGCCAAUCCAUAAAGUUGGUCUCAGUUCAGAUUGUAGGCUGCAACCCGCCUGCAUGAAGAUGGAGUUGCUAGUAACCGCAGGUCAGCUAUACUGCGGUGAAUACGUUCCCGGGGCUU
rnacentral:rRNA from 1 species